CUCUGCUCCCUUUCCCCCCUCCAGUUCUGAAACCAGCGUGGGCUGGAGCUGCACAUCUGUCUGCAUCCUUUACUGUCAAGACCACCUUAUUCUUCGUGGCUGUAUGGGAAGGAGUGUCCUCAAAAGCAGGAAGAAGCAACAAGGCUUUCUGGUUUGGUAGGUUGAAUAGUUCUUCCUCAUUUAGAUCGGAAGCAUAGAGUACAUUAAAGCCUGGAAGUCUGAAGAGCAAUAAGGGAAAGGAGAUGAUGGACCUUUUCCUAAGGAUGGAUUGACCCAAGGUGUCCCACCUGACACAGUUUGAUUCUUCGGGAGUAAGAAGCCUCCAGCAGAUCCGGCUGCAGGCCUGUGCACGUGGGAGACACUAAUAGACUGAUUAAAGUUCAUCCCCCAUCUCUACGCCUGUGAGGUACAUGUCAGUUGACAGGUUUG